AUUGGGUUUUAAAACCUAAAGGCAUAAUUAACUUAACUGUUUGUAAUGGGAUCAAUUAUAUAUAUAAUAUAAUAUAUAUAUUCCAUCCCGGGGCGUUCUAUAUAGUUAUGCAUUUUAAUAUAUUUUUAUAUAUUAUAUUUGCCUCUAACUAGAGCGUACCUUGAGCAUAUAUGUUGUGACCCGAAAGAUGGUGAACUAUACCUGAUCAGGUUGAAGUCAGGGGAAACCCUGAUGGAGGACCGAAGCAGUUCUGACGUGCAAAUCGAUUGUCAGAAUUGGGUAUAGGGGCGAAAGACUAAUCGAACCAUCUAGUAGCUGGUUCCCUCCGAAGUUUCCCUCAGGAUAGCUGGUGCAUUUAAAUAUUAUAUAAAAUAAUCUUAUCUGGUAAAGCGAAUGAUUAGAGGCCUUAGGGCCGAAACGACCUUAACCUAUUCUCAAACUUUAAAUGGGUAAGAACCUCACCUUUCUUGAUAUGAAGGUUGUGGUUUUGAUAUAUUGUGCCCAGUGGGCCACUUUUGGUAAGCAGAACUGGCGCUGUGGGAUGAACCAAACGUGAUGUUACGGCGCCCAAAUUAACAACUCAUACUGAUACCAUGAAAGGCGUUGGUUGCUUAAAACAGCAGGACGGUGGACAUGGAAGUCGUAAUCCGCUAAGGAGUGUGUAACAACUCACCUGCCGAAGCAACUAGCCCUUAAAAUGGAUGGCGCUCAAGUUGUAUGCCUAUACAUCACCGCUAAAGUAUAUGAUUUAUAUUAAUUUAUAAUUUUUAUAAAUUUUGAAACUCUAGUGAGUAGGAGGGUACAAUGGUGUGCGUAGAAGUGUUUGGCGUAAGCCUGCAUGGAGCCGCCAUUGGUACAGAUCUUGGUGGUAGUAGCAAAUAAUCGAAUGAGACCUUGGAGGACUGAAGUGGAGAAGGGUUUCGUGUGAACAGUGGUUGAUCACGAGUUAGUCGGUCCUAAGUUCAAGGCGAAAGCCGAAAAUUUAAGUUAUAUUUAACAUAUAUAUUUUAUAAAUAUAAUAUACUUAUAAUUUUUAGAACGAAAGGGAAUACGGUUCCAAUUCCGUAACCUGUUGAGUAUACGUUUGUUAUUAAAAAUGGGCUUUAAUGCUCAUCCUGGUAACAGAAACAACCAUAAAGAAGCCGUCGAGAGGUAUCGAAAGAGUUUUCUUUUCUGUUUUAUAGUCGUACUACCAUGGAAUUCUUUCGAAGAGAGAUAUGGUAGAUGGGCUAGAAGAGCAUGGCAUUUACUGCUGUGUCGAUAUUUUCUCCUCGGACCUUGAAAAUUUAUGGUGGGGUAACGCAAACUUCUCAACAGGCCGUACCGAUAUCCGCAGCAGGUCUCCAAGGUGAAGAGCCUCUAGUCGAUAGAAUA
rnacentral:rRNA from 1 species